rnacentral:lncRNA from 1 species
CUCCAAGGUUGUUAAAAAGUUAUGUACGCAUAAAUCAUGUUUUUAUUUUGAAAACAUAGACGUUCCUUGGUGUUGGCUAAGUUCACCCUCACGUGGUGGUUUGGCAUGAAGUGAACUCUAAAGUUAUACCUCGGGAGUUACCCUACUCGCCUUUCCAACAGAGGUAAAAUAUAACCGGAUUUCGUGCCCCUCUAAUAGGCUGGUCCAUAGAACCCGCCCACUGCAGCAAGCUAAACCCACCAUACAAUAAAAUUUUGAUAACAUGACAUGACUAAUAUUAUACUACCCAGCCUGUAAAUGUAAAACAGAACAAUUCAUACAGUUCACAAACCACAAUUCCAGCCAGUCAUGCCAACACAUUAUGAUAAGCCAUAAAUUAGAACCAUAAAUUUACAACACAUCAAGUGGUCUCCAGUUACUCUAUUUUGAAAGCCAUCAUUCAAUUUCAAAACAAUUUUAUGAAAUCAUUUCAUUAAAUCACAUUUGGUUUAUAAAUCCGAAAAAUUAAUCAUUUAAUUCAUUUUCCAUAAAAUUCACAAAAUCAAAUAAAACAUACUUUAGAUAAUUAAGACGAUAGUGAGGUUACUCACUAUUUCGGGAGUCGAAUUCCAAGUACUCCGAUUCUUGAUCCUUGGGUACUAUCUCUUUACUUUUGCCAGAAUGCUCACCACCUAGACAUAAUGCACAAUAAGCCAUUUACUACAUUGUGCUAAAUUAUUAUAAAACCAAUUUAGGCUUUAUACUAAUGUAUGAAAUGGGAUGCAAAUUGUUUGGAUUAUUGUCUAAACACGGUGUUCUACACAAAUUCAAUUGUGUACCUAGAUAAAACGGUAUUGGUGUAAUUUGAUCUAUCACUCGAUUAAUUGGCCAAUACGUCCAAUUCAACUCCAAAUAAUUUCAUUUUUCUCCCAAUACUCCAAAUCAUCAAACACAAAUUAAAUAACUUGAAAUAUGGCAAAAUCAUCCUCACAUUUUCUCUUGGAAAAUUCAGCCAUGGUGGGUGCAUCAACACUAUAAUUUUUCCUACUUGAUUCUCACACCAUAAAUCACUAAUUCUUAACCAAAUCACUUGAAAUAAAAAUCAAAAUCAUCCUCAAUAUUCCACAUGGAGAAUUUGACCAAUGAUGGGUGAUGGAAGAACAUGAAUUUUUCUUGCUUGAUUUUCAUGCUAUACAUCACUAACUAACUAAAAACAAUAAAAUAUCUUAAAAUCUAACCAAAUCAAGCAUCAAAACCUCUCUCUAAAUGUUUAGCCAGCAAGAUACCCAUCAUGAAAUCAUGUGAUUCAACCAUGGAAAAUGCAAAAGAAUGCAUGGAAAAGGUAAAUCACAAGUCAAAAUCAAGAAAUUUUACGUUUGAUUGCUUGAUUACUUGAAAUCCACCAAUUUUCUCUUGAAUUUUCACCCUAGGGUUCUUGUUCUUUCUUUUCUCCCUUUGUUCUU